rnacentral:rRNA from 1 species
CCCUUAGAUGUUCUGGGCUGCACGCGUGUUACAAUCGGGAGUAUAACAAGAUUGCAAAUCCUAGUGGAUGAGUGGUUCUUCGAAAUUUUCUGAAGACUGGGAUAGUUGAUUGAAAUUAUUCAACUCAAACGAGGAAUUCCUUGUAAUUGUAAUUCAUUAUAUUGUAAUGAAUACGUCCCUGCCCUUUGUACACACCGCCCGUCGCUCCUACCGAUCGAAGAGUUAGGUGAAUUGUUUUGAUCGAUAAGAUUUGACUAUGGUCAACUCUCGUUGUGAAAUUCUGUGAAUCUGACUGUUUAGAGGAAGGAAAAGUCGUAACA